rnacentral:rRNA from 1 species
GAUGAACGCUGGCGGCGUGCCUAAUACAUGCAAGUCGAGCGAACAGACGAGGAGCUUGCUCCUCUGACGUUAGCGGCGGACGGGUGAGUAACACGUGGAUAACCUACCUAUAAGACUGGGAUAACUUCGGGAAACCGGAGCUAAUACCGGAUAAUAUAUUGAACCGCAUUGUUCAAUAGUGAAAGACGGUUUUGCUGUCACUUCUAGAUGGAUCCGCGCCGCAUUAGCUAGUUGGUAAGGUAACGGCUUACCAAGGCAACGAUGCGUAGCCGAACUGAGAGGGUGAUCGGCCACACUGGGACUGAGACACGGUCCAGACGCCUACGGGAGGCAGCAGUAGGGAAUCGUCCGCAAAGGGCGAAAGCCUGACGGAGCAACGCCGAGGGAGUGAUGAAGGUCUUCGGAUCGUAAAACUCUGUUAUUAGGGAAGAACAAAUGUGUAAGUAACUAUGCACGUCUUGACGGUACCUAAUCAGAAAGCCACGGCUAACUACGUG